rnacentral:rRNA from 1 species
CGGACGGGUGGGUAACACGUGGAUAACCUACCUAUAAGACUGGGAUAACUUCGGGAAACCGGAGCUAAUACCGGAUAAUAUUUUGAACCGCAUGGUUCAAAAGUAAAAGACGGUCUUGCUGUCACUUAUAGAUGGAUCCGCGCUGCAUUAGCUAGUUGGUAAGGUGACGGCUUACCAAGGCAACGAUGCAUAGCCGACCUGAGAGGGUGAUCGGCCACACUGGAACUGAGACACGGUCCAG